rnacentral:rRNA from 1 species
AAAUUGAAGAGUUUGAUCAUGGCUCAGAUUGAACGCUGGCGGCAGGCCUAACACAUGCAAGUCGAGCGGUAGCACAGAGAGCUUGCUCUCGGGUGACGAGCGGCGGACGGGUGAGUAAUGUCUGGGAAACUGCCUGAUGGAGGGGGAUAACUACUGGAAACGGUAGCUAAUACCGCAUAAUGUCGCAAGACCAAAGUGGGGGACCUUCGGGCCUCAUGCCAUCAGAUGUGCCCAGAUGGGAUUAGCUAGUAGGUGGGGUAACGGCUCACCUAGGCGACGAUCCCUAGCUGGUCUGAGAGGAUGACCAGCCACACUGGAACUGAGACACGGUCCAGACUCCUACGGGAGGCAGCAGUGGGGAAUAUUGCACAAUGGGCGCAAGCCUGAUGCAGCCAUGCCGCGUGUGUGAAGAAGGCCUUCGGGUUGUAAAGCACUUUCAGCGGGGAGGAAGGCGAUAAGGUUAAUAACCUUGUCGAUUGACGUUACCCGCAGAAGAAGCACCGGCUAACUCCGUGCCAGCAGCCGCGGUAAUACGGAGGGUGCAAGCGUUAAUCGGAAUUACUGGGCGUAAAGCGCACGCAGGCGGUCUGUCAAGUCGGAUGUGAAAUCCCCGGGCUCAACCUGGGAACUGCAUUCGAAACUGGCAGGCUAGAGUCUUGUAGAGGGGGGUAGAAUUCCAGGUGUAGCGGUGAAAUGCGUAGAGAUCUGGAGGAAUACCGGUGGCGAAGGCGGCCCCCUGGACAAAGACUGACGCUCAGGUGCGAAAGCGUGGGGAGCAAACAGGAUUAGAUACCCUGGUAGUCCACGCUGUAAACGAUGUCGAUUUGGAGGUUGUGCCCUUGAGGCGUGGCUUCCGGAGCUAACGCGUUAAAUCGACCGCCUGGGGAGUACGGCCGCAAGGUUAAAACUCAAAUGAAUUGACGGGGGCCCGCACAAGCGGUGGAGCAUGUGGUUUAAUUCGAUGCAACGCGAAGAACCUUACCUGGUCUUGACAUCCACAGAACUUUCCAGAGAUGGAUUGGUGCCUUCGGGAACUGUGAGACAGGUGCUGCAUGGCUGUCGUCAGCUCGUGUUGUGAAAUGUUGGGUUAAGUCCCGCAACGAGCGCAACCCUUAUCCUUUGUUGCCAGCGGUCCGGCCGGGAACUCAAAGGAGACUGCCAGUGAUAAACUGGAGGAAGGUGGGGAUGACGUCAAGUCAUCAUGGCCCUUACGACCAGGGCUACACACGUGCUACAAUGGCAUAUACAAAGAGAAGCGACCUCGCGAGAGCAAGCGGACCUCAUAAAGUAUGUCGUAGUCCGGAUUGGAGUCUGCAACUCGACUCCAUGAAGUCGGAAUCGCUAGUAAUCGUAGAUCAGAAUGCUACGGUGAAUACGUUCCCGGGCCUUGUACACACCGCCCGUCACACCAUGGGAGUGGGUUGCAAAAGAAGUAGGUAGCUUAACCUUCGGGAGGGCGCUUACCACUUUGUGAUUCAUGACUGGGGUGAAGUCGUAACAAGGUAACCGUAGGGGAACCUGCGGUUGGAUCACCUCCUUACCUUAAAGAA